AAGUUUGGACACUGGGGGAAACCCUGAUCCAGCCAGCCCGCGUGUGUGAUGAAGGCCUUCGGGUUGUAAAGUACUCUUGGCAGAGAAGAAAAGGUAUCCCCUAAUACGGGAUACUGCUGACGGUAUCUGCAGAAUAAGCCCCGGCUAGCUACGUGCCAGCCGCCGCGGUAAUACGUAGGGUGCAAGCGUUAAUCGGAAGUACUGGGCGUAAAGCGUGUGUAGGCAGGCCGGAAAGAAAGAUAUGAAAUACCAGGGGGCAACCGUGGAACUGCAUUUUUAACUGCCGAGCUAGAGUAUGUCAGAGAGGGGUAGAAUUCCACGUGUAGCAGUGAAAUGCGUAGAUAUGUGGAGGAAUACCGAUGGCGAAGGCAGCCCCCUGGGAUAAUACUGACGCUCAGACACGAAAGCGUGGGGAGCAAACAGG
rnacentral:rRNA from 1 species